ACAAAGAAGCAGAAAGUCUUGAAAUGACAAAUGUUCCAGAAGAAUGUUUUUCUCCUUUGGAUCUUUUCUUUAAAAAUGUGAAAAAAAAAAUGAAGACCCUAAGUUGGUUGUUGUUCUGUCAUGCACUGAGCACUUCUGUGAAGCAGAGGUGACAAAGCUGAGAAAACCCAUUUCCGCUCCCACGGCUCCCACUGAUACAUGGUUAGUGUGAAUUUCUAGGAAGGAGAGUGACAGCGAUGAACUUCCAAGUGGCUCAGAGAGGACCAGCAAGCCUAUUAUCUCUGUGAUCUAACUGAUGCCGUGGCUAUGCAGAACAGUGGCGUGCCAUGUUUAUGUGAGUGGGACCCUCUACUUAGGCAGAAUGAUACUUCUUUCAAUUCCUAAGUUGCUAGUUUAAAACAUCCAGUUAUAAAAUGAGAACACGAGAAAACUGCUAAGUUGUUGGGAUUUCUCCCAUGAUGCUCUCUUUCCUGAUGCUACCACAAUGUGGCAUAGAGUCUCUUCUCCCACCUCUGACCACAGCUUCCUGGAUGUCGUGAUCAUGGAAUUUAGUGUCAGUCUGACUGGAUGGAACAUUAUUUAUGGACGUGAACAUGAGGAAUUUCUAAGAAAACUGGUAUGUGGUUGCCUGGGCUCUGUGCAAGGCCCACUCUUAACAUGGGUGGACAUCAUACAGCCAGCAGGAGCUGCAUGGAACGAACAGAAAAAAAAUGAGAUUUUCUCUGUGACUCUGCCAGGACAGACACACCCUUCUUCUGUCCUUAGACAUCAGAACUCCAGGUCUGCUAGACUCUAGAAUCUGGGUUGUGGACUUGGGCUGGGUCAUCAGGUCUCUAGCCUCAGACUGAGACUUGUACAAAUGGCUUCCCUGGUCUGUGCCUUUCAGACACAGGCUGAGCCAAACUACCAAAAUUGC
rnacentral:lncRNA from 1 species